ACGGAGGGUGCAAGCGUUGUUCGGAAUUAUUGGGCGUAAAGGGCGCGUAGGCGGUUAUGUAAGUCAGAUGUGAAAUACUUCGGCUCAACUGGAGAACUGCAUUUGAAACUGCAUAGCUAGAGUACAGGAGAGGGAAAUGGAAUUCCCGGUGUAGAGGUGGAAUGCGUAGAUAUCAGGAGGAACACCAGUGGCGAAGGCGAUUUCCUGGCCUGAUCCUGACGCUGAGGCGCGAAAGCGUGGGGAGCGAACAG
rnacentral:rRNA from 1 species